rnacentral:rRNA from 1 species
ACGUCCUACGGGAGGCAGCAGGUGGGAAUAUUGGACAAUGGGGGAACCGUAGCAUCAGCCAUGCCGCGCUGUGUGAAGAAGGCCUUAUGGUUGUAAAGCACUUUAAGCGAGGAGGAGGCAUACUGAGACUAAAUACUCUUGGAUAUGUGGACGUUACUCGCAGAAUAAGCACCGGCUAACUCUGUGCCAGCAGCCGCGGUAAUACAGAGGGUGCGAGCGUUAAUCGGAUUUACUGGGCGUAAAGCGUGCGUAGGCGGCCA